AUUGAACGCUGGCGGCAGGCCUAACACAUGCAAGUCGAACGAGUGGCGGACGGGUGAGUAAUGUCUGGAAACUGCCCAUAUGACGGGGGAAACUUCCUGAAAACGGUGCUAAUACCGGAUACCAUCGGAUUGGCCAAGGAGGGAUUAGCCAGUAGGUGGGGUAAAGGCUCACCUAGGCGACGAUCCAUAGCGGGUCUGAGAGGAUGACCGGCCACACUGGAACUGAGACACGGUCCAGACUCCUACGGGAGGCAGCAGUGGGGAAUCUUGCACAAUGGGCGCAAGCCUGAUGCAGCCAUGCCGCGUGUAUGAAGAAGGCCUUCGGGUUGUAAAGUACUUUCAGCGGGGAGGCGUUACCCGCAGAAGAAGCAACGGCUAACUCCGUGCCAGCAGCCGCGGUAAUAC
rnacentral:rRNA from 1 species